CCAUAGACAUAAUAAAGGAUAGACCCCGCUGGGGGUGCUGCGCGGCGAGAAAUGCGGCCGCCAUCUUGGUCCGGUCAAGCUUCCCAUACGCUCCGGUCAAUCAUAUUCAUUCAUCAGUCAUUCAGCGAUGCCGGAGCACUGUGCGGCGUAUUCCAGUGCCAACAGGCGGACAGCAGAGAACAGGGCUAAAGGAAUAACUUUUCACAGGUAGGAUUAAACAUUUUUUUCAACAUUACACUUGACUGUAGAGUCAUUUGUUGGCCAAAGAGGAAGACUAUCGGUCAACUUCAAAAACGAAACAGCAUUUGCUAACAGCUAGCUUAUUCACCAUAAUAGCAACUUUGCUCUAUUAUCAACAGAUUUGCAUUAGAUUGAAAAACUUUUGUUUGAGAGAGGUUCUAAGAAACGUUAAGAAAUAAAAUAGAAAGAAGAAGGAAGAAAGUGAGCUCUGUUAUCUGUUUUAUUAAAGAUUUCUUUGUGGUGAUCUCCUGUUUCAUUUUGAAGAUUUCCUAAGGACAAAAAUUUGAGGAAGAAGUGGGAGAUUGCUGUAAGGAGGGAGAAAUUCACAGCAAGGGAUUCCUCUGUGCUCUGCAGCCAACAUUUUAAGGAGGCAGACUUUGACAGGACGGGACAGGUUGUCCGCAUCCGAGAUGGCGUUAUUCCGUCCGUCUUCAAGUUUCCAGGUCACCUCCAAAGAGUAGGUGCAUCACAAUAAAGUUGUUUUAUUCUAUUGAUUACAUGGCAUGAAUUACUUAUUGUGAUUCCCUCUCUAUCUAUCUAUCUAUCUAUCUAUCUAUCUAUCUAUCUAUCUAUCUAUCUACCUACCUACCUACCUAUGUCUUUCUGUCUUGUCUUUAUUUUUAUUUUUCUAUUUCAUUUCAGGCAUGUUGGGUGGUUUAUAAAACACCCAGGGUAUCAGACAAUUUUAUUUCAUUAUCUAGUUUGUUCCAAAGCCUCACCCCGUUGAAAGAGAUAGUGAAGGACUUAAUGGUGGUUCUUGCCACUUUUCCUCUUCAUUUUAGCCAGAAAAAAGCAGGAACACAUCUGCCUCCAGAAAAUCUGAGGCGAGCCUGUCUGAGACUCCUCAGGAUAACUCAGUGGCCUCAACCUCACAUUCUGAAUCUCAGCCUGAAGAUGUGAGUAUUUCAAUUUUACCCAUGAGCAUGUCAUGAUGGUUUUAGAGACUGGUAGCGGAUUUGACAACUGAUGACUUUUAGAAAUAAUGCGAGCCCAUCUGUGUGAUACAGCUAGUAAAACAUAACUCAAACAAUGCUCAUCUCUCCUUUUCCUAGGAUCACAGCUAUGUAAUGCCUUCCUCCCCAACCGCUUUAAAGGCCAGACUCACCGGAGCUUUGGAAAGAGUCGAUAAAUUGGAGCGAGAAAAAAAGAAUGCCAAGGCAUGUGAAAAGAGGGCGAAGACAACCGUGCAGAGUCUUCUAUCACAAUUAUGUGAAAAGAAUCUCAUUAAUGAAGAGCUCAAGGACAGACUUGAGCAAAUUGUUAUGUAGUUUAGGUGCUGUCCUGUCAUGCUGUUCUUGUGUUUAAAUUGUUUUGAUAUGUAGGCUAUAUAUUUGUGUGUAUUUCUUUGUGUGUAUUUUCCAGUUAUUAAAAUAGUGCUUCUAUAUGACAUUAUUUGUGUGUGUCCACAAAUGGAUAAAUAAAAUUAAACUAAAUAAAAUAUAAUCAAAUCAAUAUAUAUUGAA
rnacentral:lncRNA from 1 species